GCACUGCUGAGGAGUCCCAUAAUAGGACGAAACGGCAGUCUAGUGC
rnacentral:hammerhead_ribozyme from 1 species